rnacentral:rRNA from 1 species
AAUGAACGUUGGCGGCGUGGAUUAGGCAUGCAAGUCGUACGAGAAUCGUAGCAAUACGAGGAAAGUGGCGGAAGGGAGAGGAUUACGUGGGAAUCUACCCUCAGAACUGGGAUAGCGACGGGAAACUGCCGGUAAUACCAGAUAAUGUCUGUGGACCAAAGGUGUGAUUCCGUCGGGGGAUGGGCCCACGUCCUAGUAUGUAGGUGGCAGGGUAAUGGCCUACCAAGGCAAUGAUGGGUAGCGGGUGUGAGAGCAUGACCCGCCUCACUGGGACUGAGAACUGCCCAGACACCUACGGGUGGCUGCAGUCGAGAAUCUUCGGCAAUGAGCGCAAGCUUGACCGAGCGACGCCGCGUGCGGGAUGAAGGCCUUCGGGUUGUAAACCGCUGUCGUAGGGGAGCAAGAGAUGAGGGUACUCCCUCUGAUUUGAGCGAUCCUAGGAGGAAGGACGGGCUAAGUUCGUGCCAGCAGCCGCGGUAAUAC